rnacentral:miRNA from 1 species
GUUCCCUAACCCAGUCCUCAUGGGCCACCAACAGUCCAGGUUUUGACAGUAUCUCCAUUGGAAUAAAACAGGGACACACUUAAAUCCUGGACUGUUGGUGGUCCAUGAGAACUGGGUUGGGGAA